GCUCAGAACGAACGCUGGCGGCGUGCUUAACACAUGCAAGUCGAACGAGAAUCGGAGCUUGCUCCGAGGAUAGUGGCGCACGGGUGAGUAACGCGUGGAUAACCUGCCCUGGUAUCUGGGAUAACAUCUCGAAAGGGGUGCUAAUACCGGAUAAGACCACGAGCUCCUAGGAGCUUGCGGUAAAAGGUGGCCUCUGAAUAUGCUACUGUAUCAGGAUGGGUCCGCGUACCAUUAGCUAGUUGGUGGUGUAAUGGACCACCAAGGCGACGAUGGUUAGCUGGUCUGAGAGGAUGAUCAGCCACACUGGAACUGAGACACGGUCCAGACUCCUACGGGAGGCAGCAGUGGGGAAUUUUGCGCAAUGGGGGAAACCCUGACGCAGCAACGCCGCGUGAGUGAUGAAGGCCUUCGGGUCGUAAAGCUCUGUCAGUGGGGAAGAAGUGUGCGGGUGCUAAUACCAUCUGUACUUGACGGUACCCACAAAGGAAGCACCGGCUAACUCCGUGCCAGCAGCCGCGGUAAUACGGAGGGUGCAAGCGUUGUUCGGAUUUAUUGGGCGUAAAGCGCGUGUAGGCGGUUUCUUAAGUCUGAUGUGAAAGCCCCGGGCUCAACCCGGGAAGUGCAUUGGAUACUGGGAGACUUGAAUACGGGAGAGGGUAGUGGAAUUCCUAGUGUAGGAGUGAAAUCCGUAGAUAUUAGGAGGAACACCGGUGGCGAAGGCGGCUACCUGGACCGAUAUUGACGCUGAGACGCGAAAGCGUGGGGAGCAAACAGGAUUAGAUACUCUGGUAGUCCACGCCGUAAACGAUGAGAACUAGGUGUUGCGGGUAUUGACCCCUGCAGUGCCGCAGCUAACGCAUUAAGUUCUCCGCCUGGGAAGUACGGUCGCAAGACUAAAACUCAAAG
rnacentral:rRNA from 1 species